UACGUAGGGGGCUAGCGUUGUCCGGAAUCAUUGGGCGUAAAGCGCGCGUAGGCGGCCAGAUAAGUCCGGUGUGAAAGUCACAGGCUCAACCUGUGAAUGCCGCUGGAAACUGUCUGGCUUGAGUCCGGAAGGGGCGAGUGGAAUUCCUGGUGUAGCGGUGAAAUGCGCAGAUAUCAGGAGGAACACCGGUGGCGAAGGCGGAUCUCUGGGCCUUACCUGACGCUCAGGUGCGAAAGCUAGGGGAGCGAACAGG
rnacentral:rRNA from 1 species